rnacentral:rRNA from 1 species
CCCUUGGGUCCGAAUUGUAAUUUGUAGAGGAUGUUUUUGGUGCGGUAUCUUCCGAGUUCCUUGGAACAGGACGCCUUAGAGGGUGAGAGCCCCGUACGGUUGAAUGCCUAGCCUUUGUAAAACUCCUUCGACGAGUCGAGUAGUUUGGGAAUGCUGCUCUAAAUGGGAGGUAAAUUUCUUCUAAAGCUAAAUACCGGCCAGAGACCGAUAGCGCACAAGUAGAGUGAUCGAAAGAUGAAAAGCACUUUGAAAAGAGGGUUAAAUAGCACGUGAAAUUGUUGAAAGGGAAGGAUUUAUGACCAGACUUUUCCUAGGCGAAUCAUCCGGUGUUCUCACCGGUGCACUUCGUUUAGUUUAGGCCAGCAUCGAUUUUCGGGGCGGGAUAAAAGCUUUAGGAAUGUGGCUCCCUCGGGAGUGUUAUAGCCUAUUGUAUAAUACCGCCCUGGGGAUCGAGGUACGCGCUUCUGCAAGGAUGCUGGCGUAAUGGUUAUCAAUCACCCGUCUUGAAACACGGACCAAGGAGUCGAACAUUUGUGCAAGUGUUUGGGUGUUAAACCCUCACGCGUAAUGAAAGUGAACGGAGGUGAGAGCCCUUUACGGGGUGCAUCAUCGACCGAUCCUGAUGUCUUCGGAUGGAUUUGAGUAAGAGCAUAAAUGUUCGGACCCGAAAGAUGGUGAACUAUGCGUGGAUAGGGUGAAGCCAGAGGAAACUCUGGUGGAGGCUCGCAGCGGUUCUGACGUGCAAAUCGAUCGUCAAAUCUGCGCAU